rnacentral:lncRNA from 11 species
GCUUAUUCAACCAAGCUCAACAAAUUCCCCGUCUUUAAUUUUGACGACAAUUUGAAGUAUCUUUGCAUCAGUGCCGUGAGCCCAAAUACGACCAAGGCAACCCGGUACGCUCUGAAUGUGUGGCGGUAUUGGUGCAUGACCAAAGGCCUGAAAGACUACAUGGACAUUACAAAGGGACACCAUUUUACUAUGCACCUGAACAUAAUGGGACUUGAGCAUCCAUGGAUUUUGGUAUCCCAUUUGCUACCAAGGGCCGACUAUGCAAUGGGGGAAAAGAGAGAAAGUAGAAAAAAAUUGAAGUGAAUAAAAAAACAGCAAGAAAAAAGGUGAAAGAUUAAAACAGAUUAAAGCCAAU